GCAGCAGCCGCGGGAAUACAGAGGGUGCGAGCGUUAAUCGGAUUUACUGGGCGUAAAGCGUGCGUAGGCGGCUUCUUAAGUCGGAUGUGAAAUCCCUGAGCUUAACUUAGGAAUUGCAUUCGAUACUAGGAAGCUAGAGUAUGGGAGAGGAUGGUAGAAUUCCAGGUGUAGCGGUGAAAUGCGUAGAGAUCUGGAGGAAUACCGAUGGCGAAGGCAGCCAUCUGGCCUAAUACUGACGCUGAGGUACGAAAGCAUGGGGAGCAAACAGGAUUAGAUACCCGAGUAGUCCCUGUCUCUUAUAC
rnacentral:rRNA from 1 species